rnacentral:rRNA from 1 species
CAAUAGCGUAUAUUAAAGUUGUUGCAGUUAAAAAGCUCGUAGUUGGAUUUCUGUGAGAGUGCCGGUGUCGGCUGAUGCUUGUACGCAGGCGCUCUUACAUCCUUCUGUUAACUCAUCUUGGCAUUUUAUUGCUGGUUGAGGGCUCAGAUAUUUUACCUUGAGAAAAUUAGAGUGUUUCAGGCAGGCUUAUGCCGGAAUACAUUAGCAUGGAAUAAUGGAACAGGACCUGUGCGUCUCUCGGGGCGCCGGUCUCCGUUAUUGGUUUCGGGGACUAAUGUAAUGAUUAAUAGGGAUAGUUGGGGGCAUUAGUAUUUAAUAGUCAGAGGUGAAAUUCUCGGAUUUGUUAAAGACUAACUUAUGCGAAAGCAUUUGCCAAGGAUGUUUNCAUUAA